rnacentral:rRNA from 1 species
GCAGCUGGACUGCGGCUUAUUUGACUCAACACUGGAAAUCUCACCAGGCCCGGACACCGGAAGGAUUGACAGAUUGAGAGCUCUUUCUCGAUUCGGUGGGUGGUGGUGCAUGGCCGUUCUUAGUUGGUGGAGUGAUUUGUCUGGUUAAUUCCGAUAACGAACGAGACUCCGUCCUGCUAAAUAGUUGUAACGUCACACGUACGUUGCAAAUUCUUCUUAGAGGGACUGGCGGCAUCUAGCCGCACGAGAUGGAGCAAUAACAGGUCUGUGAUGCCCUUAGAUGUUCUGGGCCGCACGCGUGUUACACUGAAGGGAUCAACGUGUCUUCCCUGACCGAGAGGUCCGGGUAACCCGCUGAACCCCCUUCGUGGUAGGGAUCGGAGCUUGCAAUUAUUCUCCGUGAACCAGGAAUGCCCAGUAAGUGCAAGUCAUAAGCUUGCAUUGAUUACGUCCCUGCCCUUUGUACACACCGCCCGUCGCUACUACCGAUUGAACGUUUUAGUGAGGUAUUUGGACCGGGCCUCUGGUGGCUCACGCCUCCAGUGCUGCUCGGGAAGACUCCCAAACUUGAGCGUUUAGAGGAAGUAAAAGUCGUAACAAGGUUACCGUAGGUG